AUGCUUUAUGGCUUAGAAUCGGGACUUCAACGACAUUUUGAACGUCAUGGAGCAUAUGAGAUAUCCCAAGAGUUGAAGUUAAUAUUUCAAGUAAAUGCCCGUAUUGAGAGAUAUGAAGUCUCCAAUAAGUUCUACAGCUCCAAGAUGGAGGAGAAUAGUUCUGUCAAUGAACAUAUGCUCAGAAUGUCUGGGUACCACAACCACUUGACUCAACUGGGAGUUAAUCUUCCUGAUGAUAGUGUCAUUGACAAAGUUCUUCAAUCACUGCCACCAAGCUACAAAAGCUUUGUGAUGAACUAUAAUAUGCAAGGGAUGGAUAAGACAAUCCCCGAGCUCUUCGCAAUGCUAAAGGCCGCGGAGGUAGAAACCAAGAAGGAGCAUCAAGUGUUGAUGGUUAACAAG
rnacentral:rRNA from 1 species